GUUUAAAUAGGAGAGUAAUUGCAAACAGCUGUGUAGCGUACGCUACGUACGUUGCGUACGCUGAGUACGCUGCAUAGAUUGCGUACGCUGCGUAGACUGCGUACGCUCGGUACGCCCGAUGCGGACCUGCGCCGCGUCAUACCCGCGUCC